UCUGGAUGGUAGUGUAUUGGACUACCAUGGCAGUCACGGGUAACGGAGAAUUAGGGUUCGGUUCCGGAGAGGGAGCCUGAGAAACGGCUACUACAUCUAAGGAAGGCAGCAGGCGCGUAAAUUGCCCAAUCCUGAUUCAGGGAGGUAGUGACAAGAAAUAACAACCUGGGGGACUUCUGUCCUUACGGGAUUGCAAUGAGAACAAUUUAAACGACUUAUCGAGGAACAAUUGGAGGGCAAGUCUGGUGCCAGCAGCCGCGGUAAUUCCAGCUCCAAUAGCGUAUAUUAAAGUUGUUGCAGUUAAAAAGCUCGUAGUUGAAAUUCUGUGUAUGCCCGAUCCUGGCUUCGGUCAAAUCGUGGUGUGCACAUCCGCUUGCAAACCUACAACGGCCUUCAUUGAUCGUGUAGGGGAGUAGGCUUUUUACUUUGAAAAAAUUAGAGUGUUUCAAGCAGGCAAUGGCUCGAAUACAUAAGCAUGGAAUAAUGGAAUAGGACUUUUGUCCAUUUGGUUGGUUAUUGGACAUCAGUAAUGAUUAACAGGGACAGUUGGGGAUAUUAGUAUUUAAUUGUCAGAGGUGAAAUUCUUGGAUUUAUUAAAGACUAACUUAUGCGAAAGCUAUUUAUCAAGGAUGUUUUCAUUAAUCAAGAACGAAAGUUAGGGGAUCAAAGAACGAAUCAGAUACCGUC
rnacentral:rRNA from 1 species